AAGAGUAAAAGAGAUGGCAGGCUUUUCCAUGGCCUGUUAACCACUCAGGAUUCACUGACACAAGCUUCAGUGGAAUCUAACAGCCAAGUUCCAGCUAAACUCUAGAAGUAGUUUUUCAAGAAAAACUGACUGCCAGCACUGCAUACUGAACAGACAGUCCUUAAACUCCACUCUGCUGUGGAAGUUCAUGUGCACUUGCACUUAAGGUUUCAAAAUUAAACGUUGUGAUAUAUAUGUGUUAUACCCUGUUCUGGUAUUGCUGGUGCUUUUCAUACAAAUAUUGCAGGCUUUAUCACAAAUAAGUUGUGGUUGAACUGUUGAAUUCUCUUUCUGAACUCCUGUGAGACUUCCCAGCUCUAGGAGUGAGAGGUCAGGGUGGUUUAAGGUGUGAUAUAUUUUUGGUUGAGAUGUGACAAAUACAGUGAAUAGAUGAAUGCUAAUUCAGGCCAUCAUAUUUAAUUAGGGCAUCAAGACUGGAAUGCAGUCUUCACUCUGAAAAUGAGCUUUCAUGAUCAAAGUACAGCUACCUUAUUUAAAUAAUUUAAACGAAGAUCAAUUUUAAUCAAAGAUGAUACUGAGUAUUGCAUAUGAAAAUUACUACUUUUUUCUUUCAGUUUUGAUGUUACCGUGUAAAUGAGCAAUUCCCUUGUUCAGAGUUAUGUGGCAUCUAGCUGGUAAUAUUUAUUUAGGGUGGAAAAUUUGAAUUAAUAUCUACUUAAAGGUGACUGCAUGGCUAACACCCUCCAUGUAGUAGUCAGAAAUCUGUCUAUCUAUUCUAUUCUGUUCAGUCUGAAAUACAUCUGAUUCCAAAUGCUUUAAUUUUUCUUCUGUUACUGACUCAAACAAUUAUAUAUUUAGAGAAAUUAGAAGAUAAAAAUGUGGUCAAAUUAUUUGCUUCAGAGAGCAUAGAUAUUAAUUAGGGUAAAAUAUAUAAUUGUGGGAUAAUUAUUAUUAUUAUUAAUAUUAUUAUUUUAUUUUUUUUUUUUAGUUUCUGUGAGAAAAAAGAUUUUAAUCAUAGAUCUGUUCAUGUGCAAACCUGGAAGAGCUCAUGGAUACAGUUUGUCCAUGUCUUCCUCAGAGGACUCUUCAGCUCAGGAGGCCUGGAGUAACCUGUGCCA
rnacentral:lncRNA from 1 species